AGUGGCGCACGGGUGAGUAAUGUAUAGGUAAUGUGCCUCUUACUAAGGGAUAACAAUUGGAAACGAUUGCUAAUACCUUAUACUCCUUAUUAACAUAAGUUAAUAAGGGAAAGAUUUAUCGGUAAGAGAUUGGCCUGUAUUGUAUCAGUUAGUUGGUGGGGUAAUGGCCUACCAAGACAAUGACACAUAACUGGUUUGAGAGGAUGAUCAGUCACACUGGAACUGAGACACGGUCCAGACUCCUACGGGAGGCAGCAGUGGGGAAUAUUGCACAAUGGACGAAAGUCUGAUGCAGCAACGCCGCGUGGAGGAUGACACAUUUCGGUGCGUAAACUCCUUUUAUAUAAGAAGAUAAUGACGGUAUUAUAUGAAUAAGCACCGGCUAACUCCGUGCCAGCAGCCGCGGUAAUACGGGGGGUGCAAGCGUUACUCGGAAUCACUGGGCGUAAAGAGCAUGUAGGCGGAUUGAUAAGUUUGAAGUGAAAUCCUAUAGCUUAACUAUAGAACUGCUUUGAAAACUGUUAAUCUAGAAUGUGGGAGAGGUAGAUGGAAUUUCUGGUGUAGGGGUAAAAUCCGU
rnacentral:rRNA from 1 species